rnacentral:rRNA from 1 species
AUUAAACGCUGGCGGCAUGCCUUACACAUGCAAGUCGAACGGCAGCACGGGGCAACCUGGUGGCGAGUGGCGAACGGGUGAGUAAAGCAUCGGAACGUGCCCUGGAGUGGGGGAUAACGUAGCGAAAGUUACGCUAAUACCGCAUAUUCUGUGAGCAGGAAAGCAGGGGAUCGCAAGACCUUGCGCUCUGGGAGCGGCCGAUGUCGGAUUAGCUAGUUGGUGGGGUAAAGGCCUACCAAGGCGACGAUCCGUAGCGGGUCUGAGAGGAUGAUCCGCCACACUGGGACUGAGACACGGCCCAGACUCCUACGGGAGGCAGCAGUGGGGAAUUUUGGACAAUGGGCGGAAGCCUGAUCCAGCCAUGCCGCGUGAGUGAAGAAGGCCUGGUUGUAAG